rnacentral:rRNA from 1 species
CCUACGGGUGGCAGCAGUGGGGAAUAUUUCACAAUGGGGGAAACCCUGAUGCUGCGACGCCGCGUGAGUGAAGGAGUAUUUCGGUAUGUAAAGCUCUAUCAGCAGGGAAGCAACCCACCCUCCGAGGUGGCUGACGGUACCUGACUAAGAAGCCCCGGCUAACUACGUGCCAGCUGCCGCGGUACUACGUAGGGUGCAAGCGUUAUCCGGGUGUACUGGGUGUAAAGGGAGCGUAGGUGGCAAGGCAAGUCAGAUGUGAAACCCCGGGGCCCAACCCCUGGAGUGCAUAUGAUACUGUAUGGCUAGAGUGAAGGAGAGGUAAGCGGAAUUCCUGGUGUAGCAGUGAAAUGCAGAGAUAUUAGGAGGAACACCAGUGGCGAAGGCGGCUUACUGGACUGUAACUGACACUGAGGCUCGAAGGCGUGGGGAGCGAACAGGAUUAGAUACCCUUGUAGUC